rnacentral:rRNA from 1 species
CAGCCGCCGCGGUAAUACGUAGGUGGCGGGCGUUGUCCGGAAUUAUUGGGCGUAAAGCGCGCGCAGGUGGUUUAAUAAGUCUGAUGUGAAAGCCCACGGCUCAACCGUGGAGGGUCAUCGGAAACUGUUAAACUUGAGUGCAGGAGAGAAAAGUGGAAUUCCUAGUGUAGCGGUGAAAUGCGUAGAGAUUAGGAGGAACACCAGUGGCGAAGGCGGCUUUUUGGCCUGUAACUGACACUGAGGCGCGAAAGCGUGGGGAGCAAACAGGAUUAGAUACCCCCGUAGUCCCUGUCUCUUAUAC